UCCUUGCUCUCCGCUGCUUGCUGCCUUUCCCUGAGCCUUGGACUUCCACCCCUUCCGCCUCCGCCCGUCCUCCCGUCCUCCCGUCCAACCUCUCUCUCCUCUGAGUCCUGCCAAGAAGAGGCAGGUCGAACACUUGCGGUGUGCACUGGAUCGAAGGGAUUACCCUGCUAGGAUUAGGCUCGCUCGAUGAGCUUGAAGUCCUUUGAGUCAGAACCUGUUUGGGGUCUGCAGAGAGUCGCACGUGGCGGGAGGGUGGCCCGCGUGUGGGUGAGGAGCAGGGAGGAAGGCUGCAGGGGCGAGGCCUUGGAGAUUCUGCUCCAGUUUGGCCUGCAGGCAGUGGAGAACCCUGGAUUCCUUUCAAGCAGGGAAGCGAUGGGACCACACACAAACUCAGGUCCGGGUACCCGAUUUCGCAGCCAAGCCAAUCAGUGAGAAGUCAGGGUUGCAGCAAGGAAAGAGGUUUAUGAUCAAGAGGCGGCCAGACAAGGAGGACGGGACGGCGACGAGAUUUGGGGAGUCUUUCGAGGAGCCGGUGAGAGACGAGGCGAUGACUGGAUGGCUGACGAGGAGUCGAGGUCUUUUGGCAGCAGCUUAGCCGUGAAAGAGGCCGCAGAGCACCCGAGGGCGGUUUCCCAGGCAGUGGAAAGAGGAGGAGGACCGAGCCGGGGGAAAGCAAGCUUUCCUCGUGAAGUUUGGAUGCCCGCUGCACGUUGGUGCCCUUCCCCUUUCUUCCUACUGUCCCGGGAGUGGGCGCCCUCGCGCGCUUUCUGAUGCUGCAGCACUAAGGCAAGUGAGGUUCCCGCUCCCCGAGGGAAAGCUCAAUAAACGCCCCCCCCCCCGCCCCCACC